rnacentral:rRNA from 1 species
CAAUAGCGUAUAUUAAAGUUGUUGCGGUUAAAAGCUCGUAGUUGGAUUUCUUCCAGGGGCAGCCGGUCCACACUACGUGUGCGUAUCUGGUUUGACUUUGGAAUCCUCUUGGGGAACGGCUCUGCGCUUAAUUGCGUGGACCGGUAUUCAAGACUUUUACUUUGAGGAAAUUAGAGUGUUCACGGCAGGCAAUCGCCCUGAAUACAUUAGCAUGGAAUAAUAAUAUAGGAUUUCGGUUCUAUUUUGUUGGUUUCUAGAGCUGAAAUAAUGAUUAAUAGGGACACUUGGGGGCAUUCGUAUUAUCACGUCAGAGGUGGAAUUCUUGGAUUGUGUUACGACGAACUACUGCGAAAGCAUUUGCCAAGGAUGUUUUCAUUGAUCAAGAACGAAAGUAAGGGGAUCGAAGACGAUUAGAUACCGU